rnacentral:tRNA from 1 species
GCUCGGGUGGCGGAAUUGGCAGACGCGCUAGCUUGAGGGGCUAGUGCCCGUUUAAGGGCGUGGAGGUUCGAGUCCUCUCCUGGGCA